GGGGCGGCCGGAGAGGCCGUGAGGGGAGAGGGGCGAGGGGCUGGCUGCUGCUCCUCCUCCUGCAAGGGCACGGCUGGGACGUGUUAGCACGGGGCAGGUCGCUGAGGCUGGCAGCUGGACCAGGGGGACUCUUGGAGCAGCGGCUGCAGGGGCAGGAGUGAGGUGGGGUCACUGGUGCUGUGUCUCCUUUCACUACACCGUGGAGCAUCAUCCAAGGUCAUAUUUUUGCCUGUUUUCUAAAAGCCGAGGAAAGGUCACUUGUCAAGGUCAUAUGGUAGGCUGGUGCCGAACGAGUCUCUCCAGUUCAAAUACAUUUUUAAUUCCGUCAUUCCCUGUAAAGCAAACAAAUGGAAAUUGUUGCUAUAAGAUAGAUGUUGGGGUCAUGCCAGCACUAUAAUUACCUUGUGACAGGGUGUUAGGAUUAGGGAUAUGGGAGCUGGCAGCCCUGGAGGACAGGAGUGGAGCUGGGCCAGGCACUUCAGCAGCUGAUGAGGGGAAAAGCAGCGAUCAAGGUAAGGCAGAGCAGUGUAUGAGACAAAGCAUGACUGGUGCGUCCUUAGUUGUAACACAGUAAAAUCUCAGGGCUGUCUUCAUUUUUUUUCCCUUUCUUUUUGACUGCGCUGUGAUUUGGGGAAGGGAGGUUGAUUUCUAACAGACUAGUUUUCUUCCAACAAUCCAGUGAGAAAAAUACAGCAAAACCAAGCUGUAGCAUUUGUGUUUGAAACAGAGAAAUGAAAUCCAAGAUUAAAGACAAGUCUGAUUUUGUGAAGACAAAAACAAACAACUCAUAGGUGGAAUGUUUAGAACUGCUUGUCUGUAGUUUUAAUUCUCCUGGCAGGGAAAAAAAAUAUCUGGCACAUCACUUCAUGGCUUUCAUCAGCUUAUGAGAUUGCAUUACUCUGAUAAAUAUAAUUUGCUUUUAAUAAUUUUUUUAAUAAGUGGCAAUUCAGUGUGGCUGUUGUUAACAGCACACAAGGUACCAUAACUAAUCAAAGCGAGAAGGAAAGGUAUAAAAUGAAAAUGUAGAAAGUGAGAAUAAAUUUAGGGAAUGAGUUGCAAAAGUAGAAAUAAUUGAGAGCACUUUGGAAUUUCAAAGUGUAAAAAAUGGGGAAAAAGGGUACUACAGGUGUUGGAUGAGAGCACUUUUUAUAUUUUUGUGCGCAGUUUAAUGGAGGAAGAGAUCUAAAAUUAGAGAUGAAAAAGAUCCAGUUAAUGGAAAAAUUGCCAUCUAUAGGGCCUAAGGGAAUCAGGUAAAAUGAUAAACUGAGCAGUGGAUACUUUUUUCUGAUGUUCUAAGUAUUUAUAAUAACAUAAUAAUAAGUGUGUAAUUUAAACUGUAAGCCACUGGCAUAUUAUGUUUUCUUGAACCCUUCUCCAUUCCCUGGAGAAAUCCCACUCUGACAGUCCCAUGGGGAAGCCAUGGUAUGUGCCAGCUGCCUUUCUAGUUCUCUUUGGCACUGCUGAAUGGCUCAUGUAACAACUGUGCUGUACCCACCGCUCAUCGAGGACAUCAAUUCGACCCUUCCUUCUCUGCAUGAGUGCCAGCUCUCAGUGGAGCUGCGUGGGUGUAGUUAUCCCUCAGGCUUUUUAACUCCUAUUUCAAAUUGCCUGAUGAGUUCAGAAGUUAUCAGGGGCAGAGUCAUAGGUUGAGAUGAAAAUACAGAAAGCAGCUGCAUUCUGAAAUGAGGAUACCAUUUUUGUAUGGGUAUUUGAUGAGGUGUCUGCUGCUUACCAAAAAGUGUUUAUCCCAGAAGUGUGGAAAGCAACAGGUGGAUGAGGAGUUCUGCGUGAAGUGCUCACUGCUGUGCUGUGCACAGAGGAGGAGGAGGAGAAAGAGGAGGAGGGAGGAAGUGUCAGCUCCUGCUUCGUUUCUGCGAACGCUGUCACACGCUGAAACACGCAGAGCUCCUCGCAGCCAUGUUAGGUAAGGGCAGCAGAAGCCAACUGUGUCCAUCCUUUUUCUGGGCAGGAAGUCCAUGAGGAUAUUAUAAUAGCCAUCAUAGCUGAGGGCAGAAAGAGCCCACUCCAGGCCAUAUUGGAUAAGGGAAAAAGGAGCAGGGGACUGUUACUGUCACAUUUGUCCCCUAAAGAGCUGGUGGCUGUUUCAGGAGAUGAAAUGCAGCUGAGAUAGUUCAUGUGCAUACCUGAAAAACAUCUGGAUUUUGGCUUGAGUGUGUCAAAGUCUUAAAGAUUGGAUGAAAAAUGAGAUCUUUUGCUGAAGGAAGCCUAUCAUGAAUUCUGAACUGUAACUGACUCAGAAAGAAAAACACAGAGCAGCAUUAUAGGCAACUCAGUGCCAGAUUUCUGACUACUGUGCAAUGGUCAUCUAAAAGCUUCCAAAAUAAUUAAUAUAUUUCACUGUGCUUCCAGUGCAGAGGUAUGAACCAGUUGCUUAGUGGGAGAUGCUGAUUCCAGAGCAAUUGUUACACUUGAAAUGACUGAGGCAUGCUGUAUUGCAAAAAUUCAAUUUCUAGUGUAAAAUUUAAGAUGCAAACUGAAAAUGAAAGCAGAAUAAACAGGUAAGGAGAAAGUUGGAGAUGCAGUUUUCUACUGAGUUUUCAUCCCUGAAACUCGUUCAUCAACAAUUUAUCCAAUCAGUUUUGUACUGAUUUUCAGAAAUACAACCAAUUUCUUGUAUAAUAGCCAUACCACCUUUCAAAUAUGGCAGUCUAAGAAGGCAUUUACUGCUCUGUAGAGCAGCAAGGAAACGUAAACCAAGGUUUGAACUGUUACUUGCAUCCUUAUUUAUCUUUUGCAAAACAAACUUGCUUCAGAAGUAGCUUCUAAAACAUUCUGAACCAAGCUGUCAAAAAGUAAGGAAGUCUUUCAGAGAAGUUUUCUCCAGUGUUAAAAGAUUGAUUCUAAUUAUCACCUCAGAUUUAGUGAAGGGGUUACACUUUUUUAUUUUAGUACUAUUAUUGUUCUUUAGUUUCAGUCUUAUUUUCUGUUCGUGAUCUUCUAACUCUCUGACUGGUUAUGUAAAGAACAAUUGCAUUAUCUUUCAGCAUUAAUUUUGAAGGAAUAAGCAACUCUACCAGUUUAAUCCUCUCUUGUCAAGUAGGUUCUCCAUUUAUUCCGUUUUCUUUCAGAUCCUUCCCUGCACCUAUUUCUGGUUUGCAUUAAAAAAAGAUACUUGUAUCCAGUGUACAAAUGAGUGUCUUACAACAUAACAUUUACAUUAAUGUAAUAUAUGUAAUAAUCAUAUAUUGAAUGUACUAUUCAAUUUACAUUAUGUAAUAAAUAUGAAUGUUUUAUACAGUUAUUUAGAAGAUAUUAUUUAUUAUGUGCCAUAUAUCCUAUCUGUGUAUAUAUACAAUGUACAUUGCAUAGUCUGUUGAUAAUACAUGUAUUUGCUAUAUAUACAUUAUUAUAAUUAACAUGCAUACCAUGAAUACAUGUUAUGCUAAUAUAUAGCUGAUUUUACAUGCAGUGUUUUUUCAUUUCAAAUUAAAUCAGGAAAGUUGAAAUAACUGACAUUUUCACUGCUUUAUCAUUUUAGCCAACUCUUGUUUGCUUUUCUAUUAAUAUAUCAAGUUUCCAGUCAGUAUUAAUAUUGACUUUUUGAAAUGGUUGAUGUUUUCUGUGGCUGUUUGAAAAAUGGAAAUGAUGCUUUAACAAUAAUUAUGACUUUU